UACGUAGGGUCCGAGCGUUGUCCGGAAUUACUGGGCGUAAAGAGCUCGUAGGUGGUUUGUCGCGUUGUUCGUGAAAACUCACAGCUCAACUGUGGGCGUGCGGGCGAUACGGGCAGACUGGAGUACUGCAGGGGAGACUGGAAUUCCUGGUGUAGCGGUGGAAUGCGCAGAUAUCAGGAGGAACACCGGUGGCGAAGGCGGCAUCCUGGACCGGCAUUGACGCUGAGGCGCGAAAGCCAGGGGAGCAAACGGG
rnacentral:rRNA from 1 species